rnacentral:rRNA from 1 species
AUUGAACGCUGGCGGCAGGCUUAACACAUGCAAGUCGAGCGGAGAUGAGGUGUCUGCACCUUAUCUUAGCGGCGGACGGGUGAGUAAUGCUUAGGAAUCUGCCUAUUAGUGGGGGACAACAUUCCGAAAGGAAUGCUAAUACCGCAUACGUCCUACGGGAGAAAGCAGGGGAUCUUCGGACCUUGCGCUAAUAGAUGAGCCUAAGUCGGAUUAGCUAGUUGGUGGGGUAAAGGCCUACCAAGGCGACGAUCUGUAGCGGGUCUGAGAGGAUGAUCCGCCACACUGGGACUGAGACACGGCCCAGACUCCUACGGGAGGCAGCAGUGGGGAAUAUUGGACAAUGGGGGGAACCCUGAUCCAGCCAUGCCGCGUGUGUGAAGAAGGCCUUAUGGUUGUAAAGCACUUUAAGCGAGGAGGAGGCUACUGAGACUAAUACUCUUGGAUAGUGGACGUUACUCGCAGAAUAAGCACCGGCUAACUCUGUGCCAGCCGCCGCAGUAAUAC